rnacentral:rRNA from 1 species
UACGGGGGGGGCAAGCGUUGUUCGGAAUUACUGGGCGUAAAGGGCUCGUAGGCGGCCAACUAAGUCAGACGUGAAAUCCCUCGGCUUAACCGGGGAACUGCGUCUGAUACUGGAUGGCUUGAGUUUGGGAGAGGGAGUGCGGAAUUCCAGGUGUAGCGGUGAAAUGCGUAGAUAUCUGGAGGAACACCGGUGGCGAAGGCGGCAUCCUGGACCAACACUGACGCUGAGGAGCGAAAGCGUGGGGAGCGAACAGG